UACAGAGGUGGCAAGCGUUGUUCGGAAUUACUGGGCGUAAAGGGCGCGUAGGCGGUCCUGUAAGUCCUGUGUGAAAUCCCCCGGCUCAACUGGGGAAUUGCACGGGAAACUGCGGGGCUUGAGUUCGGGAGAGGGAAGCGGAAUUCCGGGUGUAGCGGUGAAAUGCGCAGAUAUCAGGAGGAACACCGGUGGCGAAGGCGGGACUCUGGGCCGAUACUGACGCUGAGGAGCGAAAGCGUGGGGAGCAAACAGG
rnacentral:rRNA from 1 species